UCUCCCACGGAGUCGGGCCUCUAGUCUCUCGAUGACUUCCUCUCUAGCAAAACUUACAUCUCCAGGUCUCUUUCUGGGUUCAGUUGCUCAAUUCGACAUUUUCCUCUGCAUGUUGGGAUGCUUAUGAGCAUUUUCUUGUCAGAGAUCGGCUCACAAAGGACGACAUGUAGCAGCGGACGAUAUGAAGCCUAGUGGUUCGAUUCGUUCGCUUAUGCAAGCAAGUGGUACGAUGCUUUCUGGGACAAAGGCAGAGACAUUUCAUUCCAUGAAAGCCAAGGACCAAAUCAAACAUACCGUGUGGACCAAAGUUGGAUGUGCGCUGACUCCACCGUACAUAGCGGUGUCCACUUGGACAUCCUUCACCAACCCAACUGAUGUGCAAGUGCAGUGCAACUAGACCUAAUCGAUCCCCCAUAAUUGUCAAUAUAUCCAAUAAAAAUUGAUGUUCGGAGACGAUUUAGGGCGGCGAAAAUUUGUUUUCUUCAAUCAAGCCAAUCAUGUUCGCAUUGUAUCAUGAUUAAUUUUUAUCGAUCAUGGUAGUCACAAAA